GCCCCGGUGGCGCAGCGGAGAGCGCGCCGAACUACGAAUUCGGAGGGCCCAGGUUCGAAUCCUGGCCGGGGCA
rnacentral:tRNA from 1 species